rnacentral:lncRNA from 1 species
AUGGAGGAGCAGCUGCAGCAGAACAAUGUGAGUGAGGUGUGGAGGAGCCUGAAAACCAUCUCAGGCUUCAAAGCUCCACACCCACCGGCUGAGGGGGACCCGAGCUGGGUCAACGAGCUGAACUCAUACUUUAACAGGUUUGACCAAGCACCCACUCACACCUCCCAGCAGCUGCCUCCAAACCUUUUGUCACCUCAUACCACUGGAUUACCAGCCCCCACAGCCCUUCACACCUUUACACAAAGCCCUCUACCCUCAGCCCUGACGACUGGUGACUCAUCCCAACAACACCGCCUCACUUCACACAACACUGAGACACUGCCUCAACCCCUAUCCUUCUCCAGCACCCAGGUGAGAAGUGAGCUCAGGAAGAUCAAGGCCAGGAAAGCAGCUGGACCAGACGGCAUCAGCUCCAGACUCCUAAAGUCCUGCGCAGGCGAACUGUGCAGAGUUAUGGAGCAUGUCUUCAACCUGAGCCUCAAGCUGAGGGUGGUACCACAGCUCUGCAAGACCUCCUGCAUGGUACCAGAGCCCAAGACACCACACGCUAAAGACCCCAGCAGCUUCAGACCAGCGGCUCUGACAUCACACCUGAUGAAGACAUUGGAGAGACUGGUCCUGGGUCACCUCCGCUCUGCAGUGGGAACCUACCUGGACCCGCUGCAGUUCGCCUACCGACACGGCAUAAGAGCAGACGACGCCGUCAUCUUCCUCUUACAUCGAGCUCUUUCUCACCUAGAGAAGCCCGGCAGCACUGUGAGGAUCAUGUUCUUUGACUUCUCCAGUGCCUUCAACACCAUCCAGCCGGUGCUUCUGAAACACAAACUGGAGGAGGCUGGUGUUGACCUUCAUCUGACGGAGUGGAUUAUGGACUAUCUCAUAAACAGGCCUCAGUUUGUGAGAGCCAGGGACUGUGUGUCUGACACUCUGACCUGCAGUGCGGGGGCCCCACAGGGGACUGUACUGGCCCCCUUCCUCUUCACCCUCUACACGGCAGACUUCAGACACAACACGGACAGCUGUGUUCUGCAUGAAGUUCUCUGA